UACGUAGGGGGCUAGCGUUGUCCGGAAUCAUUGGGUGUAAAGCGCGUGUAGGCGGUUCGGUAAGUCCGCUGUGAAAGUCGGGGGCUCAACCCUCGAAUGCCGGUGGAUACUGUCGGACUAGAGUACGGAAGAGGUGAGUGGAAUUCCUGGUGUAGCGGUGAAAUGCGCAGAUAUCAGGAGGAACACCAAUUGCGAAGGCAGCUCGCUGGGACGUUACUGACGCUGAGACGCGAAAGCGUGGGGAGCAAACAGG
rnacentral:rRNA from 1 species